rnacentral:rRNA from 1 species
UUUAGUGGCGGACUGGUGAGUAACGCGUAAGGAACCUGCCUUUUAGAGGGGAAUAACAAUGAGAAAUCAUUGCUAAUACCGCAUAUGCCGAGAGAAUCACAUGGUACAAUCGGGAAAGGAGUAAUCCGCUAAAAGAUGGCCUUGCGUCUGAUUAGAUAGUUGGUGGGGUAACGGCCUACCAAGUCGACGAUCAGUAGCCGGACUGAGAGGUUGAACGGCCACAUUGGGACUGAGAUACGGCCCAGACUCC